rnacentral:rRNA from 1 species
UACGUAGGGUCCGAGCGUUGUCCGGAAUUAUUGGGCGUAAAGAGCUCGUAGGCGGUCUGUCGCGUCGGCUGUGAAAACACGGGGGCUCAACUCCGUGCCUGCAGUCGAUACGGGCAGACUAGAGUUCGGUAGGGGAGACUGGAAUUCCUGGUGUAGCGGUGAAAUGCGCAGAUAUCAGGAGGAACACCGGUGGCGAAGGCGGGUCUCUGGGCCGAAACUGACGCUGAGGAGCGAAAGCGUGGGGAGCGAACAGG